CCAGCCAUGCCGCGUGAUGUGAAGAAGCCUUCUUGAGUCUGUAAAGCUACUUUAGGCAGAUGAAGAACGACUCCAGUGGAUUAAUACGCAUGGCACGAUGACAUUAUCUGCAGAAAUAAGCACCGGCUAACUCUGUGCCAGCAGCCGCGGUAAUACAUAGGGGGCAAGCGUUAAUCGGAAUUACUGGGCGUAAAGCGAGCGCUAGGUGGCUUAAUAAGUCAGAUGUGAAAGCCCCGGGCUUAACCUGGGAACGGCAUCGUGAUACUGUUAGGCUAGAGUACGUGAGAGGAAAGUAGAAUUCCAGGUGUAGCGGUGAAAUGCGUAGAGAUCUGGAGGAAUACCGAUGGCGAAGGCAGCCUUCUGGCAUCAUACUGACGCUGAGGUUCGAAAGCGUGGGUAGCAAACAGGAUUAGAUACCCUGGUAGUCCACGCCGUAAACGAUGUCUACUAGUCGUUGGGUCCCUUGAGGACUUAGUGACGCAGCUAACGCAAUAAGUAGACCGCCUGGGGAGUACGGCCGCAAGGUUAAAACUCAAAUGAAUUGACGGGGGCCCGCACAAGCGGUGGAGCAUGGUGGUUUAAUUCGAUGCAACGCGAAGAACCUUACCUGGGUCUUGACAUAUCUAGAAUCCUGCAGAGAUGCGGGAGUGCCCUUCGGGGAAUUAGAAUACAGGGUGCUGCAUGGUUGUCGUCAGCUCGGUGUCCGGGAGAUGUUGGGGUUAUGUCCCCGCAACGGAGCGGCAGACCCUUUGUCCGUUAAGUUACCAAGCGGGUGUGGGGCGGGGAAG
rnacentral:rRNA from 1 species